CCUACGGGUGGCAGCAGUGAGGAAUAUUGGUCAAUGGGCGAGAGCCUGAACCAGCCAAGUCGCGUGAGGGAGUACUGCCCUAUGGGUUGUAAACCUCUUUUGUCGGGGAGCAAAAGCCGGACCUGUCCGGCUGUGAGAGUACCCGAAGAAAAAGCAUCGGCUAACUCCGUGCCAGCAGCCGCGGUAAUACGGAGGAUGCGAGCGUUAUCCGGUUUUAUUGGGUUUAAAGGGUGCGCAGGCGGAUUUUUAAGUCAGCGGUAAAAUCGUGGGGCGCAACCCCAUCCAGCCGUUGAAACUGGGGAUCUAGAGUGGGCGAGAGGUAUGCGGAAUGCGUGGUGUAGCGGUGAAAUGCAUAGAUAUCACGCAGAACCCCGAUUGCGAAGGCAGCCUACCGGUGCACAACUGACGCUCAGGCACGAAAGCGUGGGUAUCGAACAGGAUUAGAUACCCCUGUAGUC
rnacentral:rRNA from 1 species